GAUGAACGCUGGCGGCGUGCUUAACACAUGCAAGUCGAACGAUGAAGCGCCUUCCUUUUUGGUGUGAGUUGAUGAGUGGCGAACUGGUGAGUAACACGUGAGUAACCUGCCCCCUUCUGCUGGACAACGGGAUAAAAGUGUUGCUAAUAGGUGAUAUUUUGGAUCUGUCGCAUGAUUGGUGUAGAAAAGAUAUUGUUUCGGUGGGGGAUGGGCUCGCGGCCUAUCAGCUUGUUGGUGGGGUGACGGCCUACCAAGGCGGUGACGGGUAGCCGGCCUGAGAGGAUCGACCGUACCACUGCGACUGCGCCACCCACAAGCCUACUACGGGAGGCAGCAGUGGGGAAUCUUGAAUAAUGGGAGGACGGCUGAUGCAGCGCCGCCGCGUGAGGGAUGGACGCCUUCGGGUAGUGCACUUCUAUCGCGAGAGAAGAAGGCCUGAAUCGUUUGUGCGUGGGUUGACGGUAGCUGGACAAGAAGCGACGGCUAACUACGUG
rnacentral:rRNA from 1 species